GGGGAAUUUUCCGCAAUGGGCGAAAGCCUGACGGAGCAAUACCGCGUGCGGGACGAAGGCUUUUGGGUCGUAAACCGCUUUUGUUAGGGAAGAAGAACUAACGGUACCUAACGAAUCAGCAUCGGCUAACUCCGUGCCAGCAGCCGCGGUAAUACGGGGGAUGCAAGCGUUAUCCGGAAUUAUUGGGCGUAAAGCGUCCGCAGGUGGUUUAUCAAGUCUGCUGUCAAAGCGUGGGGCUUAACCCCAUAAAGGCAGUGGAAACUGAGAGACUAGAGUACGGUAGGGGUAGCGGGAAUUCCCAGUGUAGCGGUGAAAUGCGUAGAUAUUGGGAAGAACACCAGCGGCGAAGGCGCGCUACUGGGCCGAAACUGACACUCAUGGACGAAAGCUAGGGGAGCGAAAGGGAUUAGAUACCCCUGUAGUCCUAGCUGUAAACGAUGACAACUAGGUGUUGCGCGUAUCGACCCGUGCAGUGCCGUAGCUAACGCGUUAAGUUGUCC
rnacentral:rRNA from 1 species